rnacentral:tRNA from 1 species
AGACGCAAUGUAGCUUAAAAAAAGCAUCUCGCUUACACCGAGAAAAUGUCCGUGGAAACCAGACCAUUUCGA